rnacentral:rRNA from 1 species
ACAAAGAGAGUAGCGCACUGGUGAGUAACACGUGGGAACGUACCUUGAAGUGGGGAAUAGCGUCUGGAAACGGACGAUAAUACCGCAUAAUCCCUGAGGGGGAAAGAUUUAUCGCUUUAAGAACGGCCCGCGGAAGAUUAGGUAGUUGGUGGGGUAAAGGCCUACCAAGCCGACGAUCUAUAGCUGGUCUGAGAGGACGAACAGCCACAUUGGAACUGAGACACGGUCCAGACUCCUACGGAAGGCAGCAG